AUAAUGGAAAAUGGGGGCCAACCUGAUCCAGCCCUGCCGCGUGUGUGAAGAAGGUCUUCGGAUUGUAAAGCACCUUAAGUUGGGGGGGAGGGCUUUAGGUUAAUAACCUUAAGUUUUGACCUUAACAACCGAAUAAGCAACGGCCAAACCUGUGCCCGCAGCCGCGGUAAUACAGAGGGUGCAAGCGUUAAUCGGAAUUACUGGGCGUAAAGCGCGCGUAGGUGGUUCAGUAAGAUGGGUGUGAAAUCCCCGGGCUUAACCUGGGAACUGCUUUCAUAACUGCUGAGCUAGAGUACGGUAGAGGGUAGUGGAAUUUCCCGUGUAGCGGUGAAAUGCGUAGAUAUAGGAAGGAACACCAGUGGCGAAGGCGACUACCUGGACUGAUACUGACACUGAGGUGCGAAAGCGUGGGGAGCAAAC
rnacentral:rRNA from 1 species